UACGUAGGGGGCAAGCGUUGUCCGGAUUUAUUGGGCGUACAGAGCGUGUAGGCGGCCUGACAAGUCUGCUGUGAAAACUCGAGGCUCAACCUCGAGAUGUCGGCGGAAACUGUCUGGCUAGAGUCCGGAAGAGGAGAGUGGAAUUCCUGGUGUAGCGGUGAAAUGCGCAGAUAUCAGGAAGAACACCUAUGGCGAAGGCGGUUCUCUGGGCCUGACCUGACGCUGAGGAGCGAAAGCGUGGGGAGCGAACAGG
rnacentral:rRNA from 1 species